rnacentral:rRNA from 1 species
AGUCAACCUAACUCGUGGACGUGGAUAACCUCGGGAAACUGAGAAUAAACCACGAUAGAUCAUAGUGCCUGGAAUGGCUUAUGGUCCAAACAGUUUACUGCCAUGGGAUGGGACUGCGGCCUAUCAGCUUGUUGGUGAGGUAAUGGCCCACCAAGGCGAUUACAGGUACGGGCUCUGAGAGGAGAAGCCCGGAGAUGGGUACUGAGACACGGACCCAGGCCCUAUGGGGCGCAGCAGGCGAGAAACCUUAGCAAUGUGCGAAAGCACGACUGGGUCAGUCCGAGUGAUUCCUGAUAAAGGAGUCUUUUGCUUGUCCUAAAAGCACAGGUGAAUAAGGGGUGGGCAAGUCUGGUGUCAGCCGCCGCGGUAAUACCAGCACCUCGAGUGGUCAGGACGUUUAUUGGGCCUAAAGCAUCCGUAGCCGGCUUUGCAAGUCUUCGGUUAAAUCCACCUGCUCAACAGAUGGGCCGCUGGAGAUACUACAGAGCUAGGGAGUGGGAGAGGCAGACGGUAUUCAGUGGGUAGGGGUAAAAUCCUCUGAUCCAUUGAGGACCACCAGUGGCGAAGGCGGUCUGCCAGAACACGUUCGACGGUGAGGGAUGAAAGCUGGGGGAGCAAACCGGAUUAGAUACCCGGGUAGUCCCAGCUGUAAACGAUGCAAACUCGGUGAUGCAUUGGC